rnacentral:rRNA from 1 species
AGCAGCAGCCACGGUAAUACGAAGGGUGCAAGCGUUAAUCGGAAUUACUGGGCGUAAAGCGUGCGUAGGCGGUGAGUUAAGUCUGCUGUGAAAUCCCCGGGCUCAACCUGGGAAUGGCAGUGGAUACUGGCUCGCUAGAGUGUGUCAGAGGAUGGUGGAAUUCCCGGUGUAGCGGUGAAAUGCGUAGAGAUCGGAAGGAACGCCCGUGGCGAAAGCGAGCUCCUGGACGUUUUCUGACGCUGAGACGCGAAAGCCAGGGGAGCGAACGGGAUUAGAGACCCCUGUAGUCCCUGUCUCUUAUAC